UUAAAAAAAAAAAAAAUCUAAACUGGAUUAUACCACAUUCAUUUCAAUUAUUUUAGGUUUAACAUACAUGCAAUCCCUGAUGUGUUCUAUUCCAAAUAUGCCUCAACAUAAGAAAGAAGAGUUUGACCAUUACUUGGCCACUUAAUAAACAGGAUUGCACUAUUUCGUAUCCUUUGCAGCUAAAAUAGGGGAUAACAACAAUCGGCUUCAUAAAAGUUGCAGUAGAUAUUUAGUGCAGAACUUCCUGGAAAAUUUGCACUGCUAACACAUUUCAUGGGAAACUAUUAGCUAAAGAAGAAUCCUUUGUAUUAAAGAACACUGAAAACUGCUUAAUCUCGCAACUAGCUGAAAUACGUGCCAUUUUGGAUGAAAAAUGAACUUUCCAGCAUGAAAUUCAUAAAGCAAAAUACAGAAGUGCACAUGCACACAAACAAGAUGAGAGAGGAGAAAAAAAGAAAAAAAAGAAGAAGA
rnacentral:misc_RNA from 1 species